GGAGAUAUAGCUCAGUGCGUGUAGAGCAUGUGCUUAGGAUGCAUGAAGUCUUGGGUUCAAUACCCAGUACCUCCA
rnacentral:tRNA from 1 species